rnacentral:rRNA from 1 species
UACGGAGGGAGCUAGCGUUGUUCGGAAUUACUGGGCGUAAAGGGCUCGUAGGCGGCCAACUAAGUCGGAUGUGAAAUCCCCAGGCUUAACCUGGGAACUGCAUCCGAUACUGGAUGGCUUGAAUUCGGGAGAGGGAUGCAGAAUUCCAGGUGUAGCGGUGAAAUGCGUAGAUAUCUGGAGGAAUACCGGUGGCGAAGGCGGCAUCCUGGACCGAGAUUGACGCUGAUGAGCGAAAGCUAGGGGAGCAAACGGG